GUGGGGAAUAUUGGACAAUGGGGGCAACCCUGAUCCAGCCAUGCCGCGUGUGUGAAGAAGGCCUUUUGGUUGUAAAGCACUUUAAGCAGGGAGGAGAGGCUAAUGGUUAAUACCCAUUAGAUUAGACGUUACCUGCAGAAUAAGCACCGGCUAACUCUGUGCCAGCAGCCGCGGUAAUACAGAGGGUGCGAGCGUUAAUCGGAAUUACUGGGCGUAAAGCGAGUGUAGGUGGCUCAUUAAGUCACAUGUGAAAUCCCCGGGCUUAACCUGGGAACUGCAUGUGAUACUGGUGGUGCUAGAAUAUGUGAGAGGGAAGUAGAAUUCCAGGUGUAGCGGUGAAAUGCGUAGAGAUCUGGAGGAAUACCGAUGGCGAAGGCAGCUUCCUGGCAUAAUAUUGACACUGAGAUUCGAAAGCGUGGGUAGCAAACAGGAUUAGAAACCCUAGUAGUCCC
rnacentral:rRNA from 1 species